UACCGCAUAAGAGUAGAUGUUGCAUGACAUUUACUUAAAAGGUGCAAUUGCAUCACUACCAGAUGGACCUGCGUGUAUUAGCUAGUUGGUGGGGUAACGGCUCACCAAGGCGACGAUACAUAGCCGACCUGAGAGGGUGAUCGGCCACACUGGGACUGAGACACGGCCCAGACUCCUACGGGAGGCAGCAGUAGGGAAUCUUCGGCAAUGGACGGAAGUCUGACCGAGCAACGCCGCGUGAGUGAAGAAGGUUUUCGGAUCGUAAAGCUCUGUUGUAAGAGAAGAACGAAUGUGAGAGUGGAAAGUUCACACUGUGACGGUAUCUUACCAGAAAGGACGGCUAACUACGUG
rnacentral:rRNA from 1 species